AACGAACGCUGGCGGCAUGCCUUACACAUGCAAGUCGAACGAGAUCUUCGGGUCUAGUGGCGCACGGGUGCGUAACGCGUGGGAAUCUGCCCUUUGGUGCGGUAUAACAGUGGGAAACGACUUCUAAUACCGGAUGAUGACGAAAGUCAAAAUAUUUAUCGCCAGAGGAUGAGCCCGCGUAGGAUUAGCUAGUUGGUGUGGUAAAGGCGCACCAAGGCGACGAUCCUUAGCUGGUCUGAGAGGAUGAUCAGCCACACUGGGACUGAGACACGGCCCAGACUCCCACGGGAGGCAGCAGUGGGGAAUAUUGGACAAUGGGCGAAAGCCUGAUCCAGCAAUGCCGCGUGAGUGAUGAAGGCCUUAGGGUUGUAAAGCUCUUUUACCCGGGAUGAUAAUGAUAGUACCGGGAGAAUAAGCUCCGGCUAACUCCGUGCCAGCAGCCGCCGCGG
rnacentral:rRNA from 1 species